CACGCCUUCGAAUAAUUAAACGACUAUAUUUUAUAUAUAAAUGUUGUUUAGUUCAGACAGAGGCGCAUAUCAAAUAUCAAAUAUCU